rnacentral:rRNA from 1 species
GAUGAACGCUGGCGGCGUGCCUAAUACAUGCAAGUCGAGCGAACAGACGAGGAGCUUGCUCCUCUGACGUUAGCGGCGGACGGGUGAGUAACACGUGGAUAACCUACCUAUAAGACUGGGGUAACUUCGGGAAACCGGAGCUAAUAACGGAUAAUAUAUUGAACCGCAUGGUUCAAUAGUGAAAGGCGGUUUUGCUGUCACUUAUAGAUGGAUCCGCGCCGCAUUAGCUAGUUGGUAAGGUAACGGCUUACCAAGGCAACGAUGCGUAGCCGACCUGAGAGGGUGAUCGGCCACACUGGAACUGAGACACGGCCCAAACUCCUACGGGAGGCAGCAGUAGGGAAUCUUCCACAAUGGGCGAAAGCCUGAUGGAGCAACGCCGCGUGAGUGAUGAAGGUCUUCGGAUCGUAAAACUCUGUUAUUAGGGAAGAACAAAUGUGUAAGUAACUAUGCACGUCUUGACGGUACCUAAUCAGAAAGCCACGGCUAACUACGUG